AGAUGCUGCUGCUAUAGUACUUUCAGGCAAGGCCAAGGCUUCUUGAAAGGCUGGUCAUGCCCCAGUGAUCAAUGAAGAACUCAGGGAUAUCCCAAAACUCAGGACUAUAAGGCACAAUGGGGGAGCAGGUACCAGGUGGCCAGCAUCCUAAAUGACUCUCAGCAGCUGCAGAGAACAUUCUCAUAAAAGAGAAUCAGUCAUCCUGAGUGUAAAUAACAAGAGCUGCCUAUAAAUCUACCUCAGAAGACAAAGGGAAAAGCAAAACUCUGCCCAGGAAGACCUUACUUUACAAACCAGGUGACCAAAUUUCUAAAACAUCAUUCCCGUAAUCCCUGAUCAACAGAAAGGAAGCUCUGGAAGCAUGAAUGCUCAACCAUAUUUACCAGCCUUCCUGUGGUCAUUUGUCUGAGCUCCAGCUAGUGAAGUAUGAGUAGAACGGACAUGCACCACUUCCAGACCUGGCACCGGCAAACCCCCCAUGGCAACCCUCCAACCCUUUCCUCAACAACUGGACCACGCUGGAAAGGACUGAGGAUCUAGAGGAGGACAGGGCUGUAAUAUGGAAGGAGUUUGGUUUCUGAAGGACCAUGUAGCAGGCCACCUGCAGGGCGGGAACAUCUUUAAUAGGUUUGGAAUAGCAAGAAAUAAACUGGUCUUGUAUUAAACAACUAA
rnacentral:lncRNA from 1 species